GAUGAACGCUGGCGGCGUGCCUAAUACAUGCAAGUCGAGCGAACGGACGAGAAGCUUGCUUCUCUGAUGUUAGCGGCGGACGGGUGAGUAACACGUGGAUAACCUACCUAUAAGACUGGGAUAACUUCGGGAAACCGGAGCUAAUACCGGAUAAUAUUUUGACCUGCAUUGUUCAAAAGUGAAAGACGGUCUUGCUGUCACUUAUAGAUGGAUCCGCGCUGCAUUAGCUAGUUGGUAAGGUAACGGCUUACCAAGGCAACGAGGCAUAGCCGACCUGAGAGGGUGAUUGGCCAGCCUGGAACUGAGGCACGGUCCACACUCCUACGGGAAGAAGCAGUAGGGAAUCUUCCGCAAUGGGCGAAAGCCUGACGGAGGAACGCCGCGUGAGUGAUGAAGGUCUUAGGAUCGUAAAACUCUGUUAUUAGGGGAGAACAUAUGUGUAAGUACCUGUGAACAUCUUGACGGUACCUAAUCAGAAAGCCACGGCUAACUACGUG
rnacentral:rRNA from 1 species